GAGACACCCGGCCCCGUGACGCGCCCGGGCCCCAGCCGCCCUCCUCAGGCGGGGCCCGUCAGCCCGCGUCCCCCUGUCCGGGUCACAAUGGCAGCUCGAGACUGGGAAACAGUCGCCACGGAGGCGGGAGCCCCGGGCCGCAGCACCAUCCCCAUCGCCCCCUCCCGCAGCCUGUUGCAAUCAUCAAGGCAGAAGUAUAAUAAUCACAAAGUACUAUUCAUGGAGUGAAAGGCUGGAAAUACUAGUGACGCACCUUCACUUCCGGGCCCAGGAUUCCAAGUCUCCCGCCUCACCUCCCGCUGGCAUCCCUCGAGAAUGGAACAGGCCAUUCGCCACGGAGGCGGCGAGCGAGCGAGCAACCUUGCGCAUGCGCAGGACUCGCAGCGUCCUCGGCGCCCGUGGACUUGGGGGUUUUGGGGUUCGGGGCUACUUGGUGAACGCUGUUCAGAGAAGGCGCUGAUCUAAGCUGAGGUGUUGUCUCAGACCUUACCGCCGAAUUCUAGACGGAAAAAAUUGUUGAAACAACUGGUCCAGCCUCCUUCAUGUCACAAUUAUGACUUGUCAGACGAGUCUCACUCUGUUGUCUGGGCUGAAGUGUAGUGGUGCAAUCUCGGCUCACUGCAACCUCCGCCUCCCUGGUUCAAGCGAUUCUCCUGCCUCAGCCUCCCCGAGUAGCUGCAACUACAGGCGUGCACCAUCGCACACUGUAUUUUUAAUAGAGACAGGGUUUUACCAUAUUGGCCAGGCUGGUCUCAAACUCCCAACCUCAAGUGAUCAUCCUGCCUCGGCCUCCCAAAGUGUUUGGAUUACAGGCCUCAAACACUACUCUUUUUUUUUUUUUUUUUUUUUUUGAGAUGGGGUCUCGCUCUGUCGCCAGGCUGGAGUGCAGUGGCACCAUCUCUGCUCACUGCAAGCUCCACCUCCCGGGUUCAAGCAAUUCUCCUGCCUCAGCCUCCUGAGUAGCUGGGAUUACAGUUGCAUUCC